rnacentral:rRNA from 1 species
ACGGUAGUAACACGUGGAUAACCUACCUAUAAGACUGGGAUAACUUCGGGAAACCGUAGCUAAUACCGGAUAAUAUUUUGAACCGCAUGGUUCAAAAGUGAAAGACGGUCUUGCUGUCACUUAUAGAUGGAUCCGCGCUGCAUUAGCUAGUUGGUAAGGUAACGGCUUACCAAGGCAACGAUGCAUAGCCGACCUGAGAGGGUGAUCGGCCACACUGGAACUGAGACACGGUCCAG